rfam:Salmo salar isolate Sally breed double haploid chromosome ssa01, whole genome shotgun sequence.
UUCAUUCACUACUGUAAGUCACUCUGGAUAAGAGUGUCUGCUAAAUGACUAAAA